CGCGGCCUAUCAGCUUGUUGGUGAGGUAACGGCUCACCAAGGCGAUUACGGGUAGCUGGUCUGAGAGGACGAUCAGCUACACUGGAACUGAGAUACGGUCCAGACUCCUACGGGAGGCAGCAGGAGGGAAUCUUGCGCAAUGGGCGAAAGCCUGACGCAGCGACGCCGCGUGGGGGAUGAAUGCCUUAGGGUUGUAAACCCCUUUCACGAGGGAAGAAACUGACGGUACCUCGAGAAGAAGCCCCGGCCAACUACGUGCCAGCAGCCGCGGUAAUACGUAGGGGGCGAGCGUCGUCUGGAUUUAUUGGGCGUAAAGGGCUCGUAGGCGGCUUGGCAAGUCGGCCGUGAAAACCCAGGGCUCAACUCUGGGACGCCGGUCGAUACUGCCAUGGCUAGGGUCCGGCAGAGGGGAAUGGAAUUCCCGGUGUAGCGGUGAAAUGCGCAGAUAUCGGGAGGAACACCAGUAGCGAAGGCGGUUCCCUGGGCCGGCACCGACGCUGAGGAGCGAAAGCGUGGGGAGCAAACAGGAUUAGAUACCCUGGUAGUCCACGCCGUAAACGUUGGGUACUAGGCGUGGCGUCUUAUCAACGGAUGCCGUGCUCGAAGCUAACGCGUUAAGUACCCCGCCUGGGGAGUACGG
rnacentral:rRNA from 1 species